AAUAUGGUUUCUAGCUUUAGGGUUUCUGAACUACAAGUGUUACUAGGCUUUGCUGGACGGAAUAAAAGUGGACGCAAGCAUGACCUCCUGAUGAGGGCGUUGCAUUUAUUGAAGAGCGGCUGCAGCCCUGCGGUUCAGAUUAAAAUCCGAGAAUUGUACAGGCGCCGAUAUCCACGGACUCUUGAAGGACUUUCUGAUUUAUCCACCAUCAAACCUUCAGUUUUCACGUUGGAUGGUAGCUCAUCACCUGUAGAACCUGACUUGGCCGUGGCUGGAAUCCACUCGUUGCCUUCCACUUCAGUUACACCUCACUCGCCGUCCUCUCCUGUUGGUUCUGUGCUGCUUCAAGAUACGAAGCCCACGUUUGAGAUGCAGCAGCCAUCUCCCCCAAUUCCCCCUGUCCAUCCUGAUGUGCAGUUAAAAAACUUGCCCUUUUAUGAUGUCCUUGAUGUUCUCAUCAAGCCCACGAGUUUAGUUCAAAGCAGUAUUCAGCGAUUUCAAGAGAAGUUUUUUAUUUUUGCUCUGACACCUCAGCAAGUUAGAGAGAUAUGCAUAUCCAGGGAUUUUUUGCCAGGUGGUAGGAGAGAUUAUACAGUCCAAGUUCAGCUGAGACUUUGCCUGGCAGAGACAAGUUGCCCUCAAGAAGACAACUAUCCCAAUAGUCUGUGUAUAAAAGUAAACGGGAAGCUGUUUCCUUUGCCUGGCUAUGCACCACCACCUAAAAAUGGGAUCGAACAGAAGCGCCCUGGACGCCCUUUGAAUAUUACAUCUUUAGUUAGGUUAUCUUCAGCUGUGCCAAACCAGAUUUCCAUUUCAUGGGCAUCAGAAAUCGGAAAGAAUUACUCCAUGUCUGUAUAUCUUGUACGACAGCUCACGUCAGCCAUGUUAUUACAGAGAUUAAAAAUGAAAGGUAUUAGAAACCCUGAUCAUUCCAGAGCACUAAUUAAAGAAAAACUUACUGCAGAUCCUGACAGUGAAAUUGCUACAACUAGCCUUCGGGUAUCCUUGAUGUGCCCUUUAGGGAAGAUGAGGCUGACGAUCCCAUGCCGUGCAGUGACUUGUACACACCUGCAGUGUUUUGACGCUGCCCUUUAUCUGCAAAUGAAUGAGAAGAAGCCCACCUGGAUAUGUCCUGUGUGUGACAAAAAGGCUGCCUAUGAAAGUCUAAUUUUAGAUGGGCUUUUUAUGGAAAUUCUCAAUGACUGUUCUGAUGUGGAUGAGAUUAAAUUCCAAGAAGAUGGCACUUGGUGUCCGAUGAGACCGAAGAAAGAAGCUAUGAAAGUGUCCAGCCAGCCGUGUACAAAAAUAGAAAGUUCAAGUGUCCUCAGUAAGCCUUGUUCAGUGACUGUAGCCAAUGAGACAAGCAAGAAGAAAGUGGAUGUUAUUGACCUAACAAUAGAAAGCUCUUCUGAUGAAGACGAAGACCCUCCUGCCAAAAGGAAAUGCAUCUUUAUGUCAGAAACACAAAGCAGCCCAACCAAAGGGGUUCUCAUGUAUCAGCCAUCUUCUGUAAGGGUGCCCAGUGUGACUUCGGUUGAUCCUGCUGCUAUUCCGCCUUCAUUAACAGACUACUCAGUACCAUUCCACCACACGCCAAUAUCAAGCAUGUCAUCAGAUUUGCCAGGUUUGGAUUUUCUUUCCCUUAUUCCAGUUGAUCCCCAGCAGUACUGUCCUCCUAUGUUUUUGGAUAGUCUCACCUCACCCUUAACAGCAAGCAGUACGUCUGUCACCACCACCAGCCCCCAUGAGAGCAGUACUCAUGUUAGUUCAUCCAGCAGCAGGAGUGAGACAGGGGUCAUAACCAGCAGUGGAAGUAACAUUCCUGACAUCAUCUCAUUGGACUAAAGGAGGACUCCCUCGAUUCUAGGAAUCAUUCAUCAAAACUGUUCCUUCUUGGAUCUCUGGUCCGUGGAAGCUAUUUUUUUGGUAACAGUUACUUUGAUAUUUAUUGAAAACGUCAAGUGGAUUCUUUUGCUUUCUGAGAUGAACGCAGAUGACUACAGCAAGAAACAAAUGACAUGCAAGGAUUUUUCUUAUUCAUGCUGUACUCUGAGCAUCAGAUACAUUCGGCCAUAACUGUAUCUUCUUGAGAUGGAUUUCAGUUUCAUGUGUUACUGGAUGGAUUCUGCGUACACUUGGUUAAAAAUUUUUUUGUUGUAAUAAACAGCAAUAAAAUUAUGUAAAUAUUCAAGUAAACUUUUUUCUAAAAAGAUAUAAUCAGUGAUUCUAAACUGACAGCAACUUUUGUUUAACCUGAUGUGAAGGAAAAAUACAUGGAAGGAAGUCAUGUUUGCUGAAUGAGUCCCUUCCACGGAGAUUUGUUCCAUUUCAUUGAUUAUGUAGCCAGAGCUUGGGUUACUCUUUUCUUCCUGAUGCCAUCGAAGAAAAAUGGCCUGUGUUACGUAUUUUUCCCUGGUUGUCAUUGACACUCUGAUGUUGUUUGCUAGCUGUUGCAGAGGAAAGUUCUGGGAUUUGGCACUCUUUCUCAGUGAUAGUGCUGAAGAACACUAUGCAGAUCCUGCCCUGAUGUAACGUGCUAUUUUUGGUAAUUAUACAUGCUCAUUCUAGAGAUUUCUAUAAAAUUGGGCUUGCCUUCUCAAAAAAGAAAUUCUAUGCAGCCAUUGAAUGUUGAGUGAAAUGUUUUUGGAGUAACAUGUGGCUAGAAUGUUCACUAGAGUUUUCAUACUGACCAGAAAUAUUGAGAGCUUUGAGGCAGCAGAAGACCAGAUUUGGGGCAGACAGAAAUAACAGAGUUUAAUCUCUUCCUAGGAACUUCUUUUGCUCAUUUAUUUUAUGGAAUAAUAUCCAAAUCUUUGAAACUUUUCAGAUUUUACUAACACUAAGAACGCAAAUAUGUUUUAGGACCCCUGUCUUAUUUCUUACCAGUACAAUUUCAGUGUCUGUGAUGAUUUUCAAGCUUAAAGAAAACACAAACAAUAGCAAAGCAUGGGGACUGCCUCCGAUUUCCUUUCACUUUUUAAAAAAAGGCAAUCUUUCCUGUUACCACGAAGGACAAACAAUUAGAAAUGUCUGAAUUUGAGUAAGGAAGGUUUGGGGAAGGUGGGCCUGUAGCCCACUUUGAAAACCACUCAUUUAGAGUGGGCUUGUUUUUAAAUCCCUUAGGAGAUUGAGUUUUACCCUUAGAGAAACAUUUCUAUCCAAAUUUUCUAUUUCCAUUUGUUUCAUUUGGCUUCCUAAAUUUUUGAGUUCUCAAGGAAUUAAUACUUCAUGUUUAGCUUUCUCUCCCUAACUGUAUCUGUUUUAAAAAUAAAACCCUUUUUUAAAAAAUGACGUAAUCUAACUGAUUUCUCAAACCAAAGUGCCCAGAUGAAGAGUCUCCCAGCGUCAGGUAGACGAGGGACACCGUCGCAUUACUGCAGGGUUGCUGUAACUCCCGGAAGCUGACGUGUCACUGCUUGGGUUUGUUUUUUGGUUCUUGUUUUUUGUUUGUUUGUUUGUUAACACCUCCUCGAGUUUUCAGGGUCACUGCUCUCUUUGUAAACAGAUUUGAUUUCAUAUGAUUUUCUAACCUCAUCUUCCCUUUGACUACAUCUUCCCUUAAUGUGUUACCCCUUUUGGAGAGCUGCUUCCCAUUAAAGCGCGGAGACAAGCCUGCGUCUCCCUGCCCUGGUCUUGCCGUGGUGGCCGUUUUUACCUUCUGAGUCCUCAGACUCCAGUACAUAUUACAGUCCUUUGGUCCAGACAGGGAAUUUCUUCAUGGUAAAAUUUUCUGUUGCUGCUUGAAAUAACAGAUGCAAUUUCUGUUCACUCUGUAAUCAGCUAGAAAACGUAUUUGUGUGGUACAAUUUGUUAAUAAACAAAUGAUGUAUAUUUGUUAUCAUUUUGCUACCCUGUAGAUCCUCGGCCUCCCCCUCUGCCAUUUACAGAGUUUUAUAAGGAUGAUUUACUAGAGGUGGAAUUUCUGGGUCAAGGAGAUGAACACUUUGUAGUUCUUGACUCCUGUCACUUCUCCAAAUGACUCCAGCCACAUGACAUGUGAAGAACAAGAACCCUUUAGGCAUAUUUUCCAAGAACAUGCACCGUUUACCUCAGUGCCGGCGUCAGCACUAAGAUCCUCAACCCUCCCUACCCUGGACCAUUCAUCUGGGUCAGGUACACCACCCUGAGUUUCUGAUUGAUCAGCUUCUGUCUCCCAAGGCCAAUAGCCACCCAAGUUGUCACUGGACUCUGUACUUUGAGAUUGGAACAAGAAUCAGCCUGCUGUCUCUGGAAGUCGUGCCCACAUGCCGUUAGAUGAGUAACAGGCUUCUCCUACAACAUACUGAUAGUACUGAAGUCCCGGAGGUGUAACAGCUCUACCAGAGAAGUCAGUGAGUGAGAAAAAUACUGCAAAAGGAACACAACAAGGAGAUGGAGAAGAAGCACCUGAGGUGGAAAGGAAAUCAGGAAUGAUGCCACAGAGCCCAAAACCAUAGAGUAUUUCAAGAAGAGAGGGAUCAGUGAAGUUAAAAGCUCUUAUAAAAAGUAUCCAUUAAAAAAAUGAAUUUCAGAAACAUAGUAUUCAAAUCUAUACUUAAUUGAUUGUAACUGCUUUAUGUAAACAAAAAGCUGCUAAUUAAACUAAGACCCAUUGCUUUCAA